CAAAUGAAACAAAAAAAAAAAAAAAAAAAAAAA
rnacentral:ribozyme from 1 species